rnacentral:rRNA from 1 species
UACGUAGGGUGCAAGCGUUGUCCGGAAUUAUUGGGCGUAAAGGGCGCGUAGGCGGCCCUCUAAGUCAGACGUGAAAUCCCUCGGCUCAACCGGGGAACUGCGUCUGAGACUGGGGGGCUUGAAUCCGGGAGAGGGAUGUGGAAUUCCAGGUGUAGCGGUGAAAUGCGUAGAUAUCUGGAGGAACACCGGUGGCGAAGGCGGGUCUCUGGGCAGUAACUGACGCUGAGGAGCGAAAGCGUGGGGAGCGAACAGG